AAAGUGAUCUCUUCAAACAGAAAGAUGUAAGGAAAGAGACAAUAUAAGGACAAGUAUAUGUGUCAAGCUCAUGGGUACCUUCAGAUAUGGGGGAGGCAGAGCCAGAAUGGGUAUUGGUUAAAAAGAUGAGACUAACUUCUCACCUACAAUGUUCUGUUCUUAAGAUAAUUAUUCAUAUAAUUUCAAAAUAUGUAUACAGGAAAAAAAAAGACUAGCUGUAAAUAUGACUGAAAUGUUCAUAGUGCUUCAUUCUGGGAUUCGGGAGGUGAGCAAUUCUUAUUCUCUCCUUUUAUCUUUCUCCUAGGAAGGAAGAAAAGAAGGGAGGGGGGGACUUAUGCAAUUGUUAUCAUGCCUUGACAUUGCUGACCUGAAAUCCACCAAAAUUCCAGGUCUCAAUGUCUCAGACCAGCUUUCACCAACAGCAGGAAAAGCAAGCUCCCUCACAGCGAGUACCUCUGCUUCUUGUUGCCACUUCAUAUCCUUGUGGAGAGAUUAUAAUGAUGUCCAUGGCUUGGACUAAUCUCUUCCC
rnacentral:lncRNA from 1 species